rnacentral:snRNA from 1 species
GAAAUUAAAAACCCAUAAGUUUC